GCUACGGGGGGCAGCAGUGGGGAAUAUUGCACAAUGGGGGAAACCCUGAUGCAGCGACGCCGCGUGAGUGAAGAAGUAUUUCGGUAUGUAAAGCUCUAUCAGCAGGGAAGAAAAUGACGGUACCUGACUAAGAAGCCCCGGCUAACUACGUGCCAGCAGCCGCGGUAAUACGUAGGGGGCAAGCGUUAUCCGGAUUUACUGGGUGUAAAGGGAGCGUAGACGGCGGAACAAGUCAGAAGUGAAAACCCGGGGCUCAACCCUGGGAGUGCUUUUGAAACUGUUUGGCUGGAUGGCAGGAGAGGUAAGCGGAAUUCCUAGGGUAGCGGUGAAAUGCGUAGAUAUUAGGAGGAACACCAGUGGCGAAGGCGGCCUGCUGGACGGUGACUGACGCUGAGGCUCGAAAGCGUGGGGAGCAAACAGGAUUAGAUACCCGUGUAGUUC
rnacentral:rRNA from 1 species